GGAAGGAUACUUUAUAAAGAAGAGUAAGUUUGCAUCUUACCAGUGAGGUGUUCUCUCUUUCCU
rnacentral:tRNA from 1 species